GGGGGUAUAGGCUAACCUGGCAGACUGGUGGGCUCCAGACCCGCUGACGAGGGUUCAAAUCCCUCUGCCCCCA
rnacentral:tRNA from 2 species